rnacentral:sRNA from 1 species
AUCCGGUCCUUCCGGACUCAGACAAUUUCACCGACUGGCGAAUGGGUCUGAUUUUUCUCCCUGUUUUACCUUGAGAGCCGCUUCGCGCGGCUCUUUUUUUU